rnacentral:rRNA from 1 species
UACGGGGGGGGCAAGCGUUGUUCGGAAUUACUGGGCGUAAAGGGCUCGUAGGCGGCCAACUAAGUCAGACGUGAAAUCCCUCGGCUUAACCGGGGAACUGCGUCUGAUACUGGUUGGCUUGAAUCCGGGAGAGGGAUGUGGAAUUCCAGGUGUAGCGGUGAAAUGCGUAGAUAUCAGGAAGAACACCCGUGGCGAAAGCGGCUCUCUGGAACGGUACUGACGCUGAGACGCGAAAGCGUGGGGAGCGAACAGG